CUAUGGGGCAGGAGCCAAUCUAUGGGGCCAGGACCCGCUAUGGGGCCGAUCUAUGGGGCUGAAAAUGUCUAUGGGGCUGAUCUAUGGGGCUGGAGCCAAUCUAUGGGGCUGGGACAGUCUAUGAGACCAAUCUAUGGGGCCAGGACCCACUAUGGGGCCAAUCUAUGGGGCCAGGACCCACUAUGGGGCCAAUCUAUGGGGCUGGAACCCACUAUGGGGCCAAUCUAUGGGGCUGGGACCUGCUAUGGGGCCGAUCUAUGGGGCUGGGGCCGAUGUGUGGGGCCGGAAUGCCCCAUAGAUCUGCCCCAUAGAUCAGCACGAGAGAUGGCACAGGUAUGGCUCUGCCCCAUAGGUGGCACUGGGGGGGGCUCUGCCCCAUAGAUGGCACAGGUAUGGCUCUGCCCCAUAGAUCUGCCCCAUAGAUGGCACUGGGGGGGGGGUCUGCCCUAUAGAUCUGCCCCAUAGAUCCGUCCCAUGGAUGGCACAGGUAUGGCUCUGCCCCAUAGAUCUGUCCCAUAGAUGAGUGCAAUAGAUGGUAACUGGGAUGGCUCUGCCCCAUAGAUCUGCCCCAUAGGUUACACUGAGGGAGCUCUGCCCCAUAGGUGGCACUGGGGGGGUUCUGCCCCAUAGAUGGUACAGGUAUGGCUCUGCCCCAUAGAUCUGCCCCAUAGGUGGCACUGGGGGGGCUCUGCCCCACAGAUGGCACAGGUAUGGCUCUGCCCCAUAGAUGGAUGGCACUGGGGGGAGGCUCUGCCCCAUAGAUCUGUCCCAUAGGUGGCAGUGGGGGGGCUCUGCCCCAUAGAUCUGCCCCAUAGAUGGCACUGGGGGGGCUCU
rnacentral:lncRNA from 1 species